UACAGAGGUCUCAAGCGUUGUUCGGAUUCAUUGGGCGUAAAGGGUGCGUAGGCGGCGCGGUAAGUCGGGUGUGAAAUCUCGGAGCUUAACUCCGAAACUGCAUUCGAUACUGCCGUGCUUGAGGACUGGAGAGGAGACUGGAAUUUACGGUGUAGCGGUGAAAUGCGUAGAUAUCGUAAGGAAGACCAGUGGCGAAGGCGGGUCUCUGGACAGUUCCUGACGCUGAGGCAGGAAGGUCAGGGGAGCAAACGGG
rnacentral:rRNA from 1 species